rnacentral:rRNA from 1 species
AGGGUUUGAUCCUGGCUCAGAACGUACGCUAGCGGCAGGCUUAACACAUGCAAGUCGAGGGGUAUAGUUCUUCGGAGCUAGAGACCGGCGCACGGGUGCGUAACGCGUAUACAAUCUACCUUUUGCUGAGGGAUAGCCCAGAGAAAUUUGGAUUAAGACCUCAUAGUAUGUAUUUAUGGCAUCGUUUUCACAUUAAAGGUUCGGCGGUAAAAGAUGAGUAUGCGUUCUAUUAGCUAGAUGGUGUGGUAACGGCACACCAUGGCAACGAUAGAUAGGGGCCCUGAGAGGGGGAUCCCCCACACUGGUACUGAGACACGGACCAGACUCCUACGGGAGGCAGCAGUGAGGAAUAUUGGACAAUGGGCGAAAGCCUGAUCCAGCCAUGCCGCGUGCAGGAAGACUGCCCUAUGGGUUGUAAACUGCUUUUAUACAGGAAGAAACACUCCCUCGUGAGGGAGCUUGACGGUACUGUAAGAAUAAGGACCGGCUAACUCCGUGCCAGCAGCAGCGGUAAUACGGAGGGUCCAAGCGUUAUCCGGAAUCAUUGGGUUUAAAGGGUUCGCAGGCGGUUUAAUAAGUCAGUGGUGAAAUCCUACAGCUCAACUGUAGAACUGCCAUUGAUACUGUUAGACUUGAAUAUAGUUGAAGUAGGCGGAAUAUGUCAUGUAGCGGUGAAAUGCAUAGAUAUGACAUAGAACACCGAUCGCGAAGGCAGCUUACUAAGCUAUUACUGACACUGAGGGACGAAAGCGUGGGGAGCGAACAGGAUUAGAUACCCUGGUAGUCCACGCCGUAAACGAUGAUUACUCGUUGCUAGCGAUACACUGUUAGUGACUAAGCGAAAGUGUUAAGUAAUCCACCUGGGGAGUACGAUCGCAAGGUUGAAACUCAAAGGAAUUGACGGGGGCCCGCACAAGCGGUGGAGCAUGUGGUUUAAUUCGAUGAUACGCGAGGAACCUUACCAGGGCUUAAAUGUAGGACGACAGUUUGGUAGAGAUAGCUAUUUCUUCGGACUACUUACAAGGUGCUGCAUGGUUGUCGUCAGCUCGUGCCGUGAGGUGUCAGGUUAAGUACUAUAACGAGCGCAACCCCUAUCGUUAGUUGCUAGCAGGUCAUGCCGGGGACUCUAGAGAAACUGCCGGUGCAAACCGAGAGGAAGGUGGGGAUGACGUCAAAUCAUCACGGCCCUUACGUCCUGGGCUACACACGUGCUACAAUGGUAUAUACAGAGAGCAGCCACCUGGCGACAGGGAGCGAAUCUAUAAAGUAUAUCACAGUUCGGAUCGGAGUCUGCAACUCGACUCCGUGAAGCUUGAAUCGCUAGUAACUGGAUAUCAGCCAUGAUCCGGUGAAUACAUUCCCGGGCCUUGUACACACCGCCCGUCAAGCCAUGGAAUCUGGGAGUGCCUGAAGUCGGUCACCGCAAGGAGCCGCCUAGGGUAAAACUGGUAACUAGGGCUAAGUCGUAACAAGGUAGCCGU